rnacentral:rRNA from 1 species
UAGGGAAUAUUGGGCAAUGGACGCAAGUCUGACCCAGCCAUGCCGCGUGCAGGAAGAAGGCGUUAUGCGUUGUAAACUGCUUUUAUACAGGAAGAAACGACUCUUGCGAGAGGCAUUGACGGUACUGUAUGAAUAAGCACCGGCUAACUCCGUGCCAGCAGCCGCGGUAAUACGGAGGGUGCAAGCGUUGUCCGGAUUUAUUGGGUUUAAAGGGUGCGCAGGUGGUUUAUUAAGUCAGUGGUGAAAGACGGUCGCUCAACGAUUGCAGUGCCAUUGAAACUGGUAGACUUGAGUAAAGUAGAGGUGGGCGGAAUUGAUAGUGUAGCGGUGAAAUGCAUAGAUAUUAUCAAGAACUCCAAUUGCGUAGGCAGCUCACUUGGCUUUUACUGACACUCAUGCACGAAAGUGUGGGUAUCAAACAGG